UUAUACACUGAUCCCCAUACAAUCACCGAAGUUAAGCAAUGUCAAGUCUAGUCAGUACCUAGAUUGGUGACCACUUGAGAAUACCAGGUGCUGCAAG